AUGAAGGCCAAGUGGAGAGGAUGCUUGUGCUUUUCAGGGCUAUAUUUGCUGUUUGGGGAAAUAGCAUCCAUGGAAGCUUCAGUUUCAAAUGUGGACAGCUUAAGUAUAAGGAUGCAAAUGGAUCAUGUUCUUCAGGGUUCUUGUGAAGACAGGCAGGCAACAAGCACGGAGGCUUUGUGUCCUUCUCCUCCUAGCUAUGCUUUUGGCUCUGGAAUCAUCUACUUUCUACUCCUGGAACUUGUCUCAGCACCUAGGACCAUCUCAGCCUGGAACAAGCUCUCCUCCAUGUUGCCCCAGUCUUCCAUAGGGACUUCACUGACUAAAUUCACAAGGAGAAGGCUGCAACCACUACUGAAUACCUUAACCUGGAGGUACAGGCAGGAAGCACAGCUCUCUUCAGUGUCCACACUUUCACCUCCACCUUCAGCUUUUGCUGCCAGCAGACCUCAGGGCUCAUUAAUCUAAUCAAUCAGCAGAGCCCCUUCUGGACAGAAUAGCCCAAACCCCAGUUCCAGCAAAUAAACCAAGAAGCAAGAACA
rnacentral:lncRNA from 1 species